GACGAAGGAUGCAAGCGUUAUCCGGAUUCAUUGGGUUUAAAGGGAGCGUAGGUGGCCUUAUUAAGUCAGUGGUGAAAUCUUCGAGCUUAACUCGGAAAUUGCCAUUGAUACUGUAGGGCGUUGGAGUACAGUUGCUGUGGGCGGAAGUAUGACAUGUAGUGGUGAAAUACAUAGAGAUGUCAUAGAACACCGAAUUGGCGAAGGC
rnacentral:rRNA from 1 species